AAAUGUCACGGUUUCUUGGGGUUGGCUAACUAUUGCAUUAUGUGGUUAUUCUAUUUGCAGAAACUUUCGUACGAUUCUGCACGUGUUUAAUAUAGCAGCUUUUUGAAGAAGUAUGUAGGUGUUAGGUUUCAGGUCAAGGAGCUUCAAACCAUGAUGUAUAUGUUUUGGAAUAACACCAGUUGUGGACAAUACUAGAGGGACAAUGUAUACUUUUUGUUGUUUCCAGAUUCUUAAAACUUCAUCCUUAAGAUGUCGGGAAGAGUCAUAAAGCUGAUUAUCGACAAAGUUGAUUAUUGAAAAUACGAAUAAAACAACAUUUUCUGAAAAUAAUUCGUAGCUAGAUCGAUUUAUCGCCCCCGAAAUCUCCUAUAUACUAAAUUUUAUAAAAAUCGUUGGAGUCGUUUCCGAGAUUCAGAUUAUAUAAUAUAUACAAGAAUUGCUCGUUUAAAGGUAUAAGAUAUUAAAUAUCUACAUACAUUCUGUUAUAUGAAAAAUUAUACGGAGCGCAAUGAUAUGAAGUCGAUUUAGUUAUUGGCAUGAAAUUCAAUGAAAAGAAAUAAAAUAAACUUUGAGUCAAAA